rnacentral:rRNA from 1 species
GAAAAAAAUUAAAGGUAAAUCCUGCCCUAUGAUUAAUUAAAUGGCUGCAGUAUCCUGACUGUGCAAAGGUAGCAUAAUAAUUAGUCUUUUAAUUGAAGGCUUGUAUGAAUGGAUAAAUGAAAAAUUUGUUUUAUUAUUAUUAUAAUUUUAAUUUAAUUUUUAAGUAAAAAAGCUUAAUUUUUUAAUUGGGACGAUAAGACCCUAUAGAACUUUAUUAUUAAUUUUUAUUUUAUUAUUUUGGAUUUACUUUAUUAUUUAAUUAUUUAAUUAUUUUGUUGGGGGGAUAAAUAAAUUUUGACUUUAUUUUUUUUAUUCAUUUUAUUUAUGUUUUUUUAGAUCCAUUAAAUUGAUUUUAAGAUUAAGUUACCUUAGGGAUAACAGCGUAAUUUUGAUGGGGAGUUCUUAUCUAUAUCAUANUUUGCGACCUCGAUGUUGAAUUAAGAUAAGAUUGAGGGGUAG